UCUGUUUGAUCCUGGCGGAGGCCGCUGCUAUCGGAGUUCGAUUAAGCCAUGCGAGUCGAGAGGUGUAAGACCUCGGCAUACUGCUCAGUAACACGUGGACAACCUACCCUGAAGAGGGGGAUAACCCCGGGAAACUGGGGAUAAUACCCCAUAGACUAUGGAUGCUGGAAUGCUUUGUAGUUGAAAGGUCCGCCGCUUCAGGAUGGGUCUGCGGCCGAUUAGGUUGUUGUUGGGGUAACGGCCCAACAAGCCUGUAAUCGGUACGGGUUGUGGGAGCAAGAGCCCGGAGAUGGAUUCUGAGACACGAAUCCAGGCCCUACGGGGCGCAGCAGGCGCGAAAACUUUACAAUGCAAGCAAUCGUGAUAAGGGAACUCCGAGUGCCUGUAAAAUCAGGCUGUCCGCCAGUGUAAAUAACUGAUGAAGAAAGGGCCGGGCAAGACCGGUGCCAGCCGCCGCGGUAAUACCGGCGGCUCGAGUGGUGGCCACUAUUACUGGGCUUAAAGCGUUCGUAGCUGGUCUGUUAAGUCUCUGGGGAAAUCUUCCGGCUUAACCGGAAGGCGUCUCAGGGAUACUGGCAGACUAGGGACCGGAAGAGGUGAGAGGUACUCCAGGGGUAGGAGUGAAAUCCUGCAAUCCUUGGGGGACCACCUGUGGCGAAGGCGUCUCACCAGGACGGCUCCGACAGUGAGGAACGAAAGCUGGGGGAGCAAACCGGAUUAGAUACCCGGGUAGUCCCAGCUGUAAACGAUGCGCGUUAGGUGUAUCGGUGACCACGAGUCACCGAGGUGCCGAAGAGAAAUCGUGAAACGCGCCGCCUGGGAAGUACGGUCGCAAGGCUGAAACUUAAAGGAAUUGGCGGGGGAGCACCACAACGGGUGGAGCCUGCGGUUUAAUCGGACUCAACGCCGGGAAACUCACCGGACAAGACAGCUGAAUGAUAGUCGGGCUGAAGACUCUACUUGACUAGCUGAGAGGAGGUGCAUGGCUGUCGUCAGUUCGUACUGUGAAGCAUCCUGUUAAGUCAGGCAACGAGCGAGACCCA
rnacentral:rRNA from 1 species